GGGGGUGUCGGCUAGCUUGGCCUAGGCUUCGUGGCUUGGGCUCGUGAAACCCCGGUUCGAAUCCGGGCACCCCCA
rnacentral:tRNA from 1 species